AUUAAUUGUAGAAAGUAGCCAGGAAAUAAGUAACAUGUCCUGUUGAAUAAACGCCGAGGCAUCCAGAUUCGGAACGAGCGAGCCCUCUAGAGACUGCAAAAAUCGCAGUGGAGCAGGUACCGUUCCAUCCAAAAAACCAGUUAGCUCGUAUCUUUCAACUAUUAACCUAACAUGCUGCUUCCACUGAACGAAAGUGCCUUCACCCAAUUUGACAGUCUCAUGACGCGGAAACGAGUAAACGAGCCUAGCACCUGUGAACGCUGAACCUCUAUGUUCGACGGCGGCAGAAUCAGCAGAAGCUAUGGUGGUCAUUAACGCAAACAGAAAACAGGUCUUCAGCACCUUAGACGACUGAUACCAUGUUAGCACCUACGGUGAAUUAUCAAUGUAAACUGAAUUGAAUGAAACCAAGCUAAGUAUUGAAAGAAUGUAUUGAGUAAAGAAAUAACUCUUUUGUAUUUAGUCUUGUAUUCUGGUAUGUACAUUGUAACAAUAGUAUUUAUAGGAC
rnacentral:lncRNA from 1 species